rnacentral:rRNA from 1 species
GACAGAGGGUGCAAACGUUGUUCGGAAUUACUGGGCGUAAAGCGUGUGUAGGCGGCUACAUAAGUCGGAUGUGAAAGCCCCGGGCUCAACCCGGGAAGUGCACUCGAUACUGCGUAGCUUGAGUCUCGGAGAGGUUGGUGGAAUUCUCGGUGUAGAGGUGAAAUUCGUAGAUAUCGAGAGGAACACCGGUGGCGAAGGCGGCCAACUGGACGAAGACUGACGCUGAGACACGAAAGCGUGGGGAGCGAUCCGG